CAAAGGAAUUGACGGGGGCCCGCACAAGCGGCGGAGCAUGCGGAUUAAUUCGAUGCAACGCGAAGAACCUUACCAAGGCUUGACAUGAACCGGUAAUACCUGGAAACAGGUGCCCCGCUUGCGGUCGGUUUACAGGUGGUGCAUGGUUGUCGUCAGCUCGUGUCGUGAGAUGUUGGGUUAAGUCCCGCAACGAGCGCAACCCUCGUUCUAUGUUGCCAGCGCGUUAUGGCGGGGACUCAUAGGAGACUGCCGGGGUCAACUCGGAGGAAGGUGGGGACGACGUCAAAUCAUCAUGCCCCUUAUGUCUUGGGCUUCACGCAUGCUACAAUGGCCGGUACAAAGGGUUGCGAUACUGUGAGGUGGAGCUAAUCCCAAAAAGCCGGUCUCAGUUCGGAUUGGGGUCUGCAACUCGACCCCAUGAAGUCGGAGUCGCUAGUAAUCGCAGAUCAGCAACGCUGCGGUGAAUACGUUCCCGGGCCUUGUACACACCGCCCGUCAAGUCACGAAAGUUGGUAACACCCGAAGCCGGUGGCCUAACCCUUGUGGGGGGAGCCGUCGAAGGUGGGACCGGCGAUUGGGANUAAGUCGUAACAAGGUAGCCGUACCGGAAGGUGCGGC
rnacentral:rRNA from 1 species